AUUGAACGCUGGCGGCAGGCCUAACACAUGCAAGUCGAGCGGAUGAAGGGAGCUUGCUCCUGGAUUCAGCGGCGGACGGGUGAGUAAUGCCUAGGAAUCUGCCUGGUAGUGGGGGAUAACGUCCGGAAACGGGCGCUAAUACCGCAUACGUCCUGAGGGAGAAAGUGGGGGAUCUUCGGACCUCACGCUAUCAGAUGAGCCUAGGUCGGAUUAGCUAGUUGGUGGGGUAAAGGCCUACCAAGGCGACGAUCCGUAACUGGUCUGAGAGGAUGAUCGGUCACACUGGAACUGGGACACGGUCCAGACUCCUACGGGAGGCAGCAGUGGGGAAUAUUGGACAAUGGGCGAAAGCCUGAUCCAGCCAUGCCGCGUGUGUGAAGAAGGUCUUCGGAUUGUAAAGCACUUUAAGUUGGGAGGAAGGGCAGUAAGUUAAUACCUUGCUGUUUUGACGUUACCAACAGAAUAAGCACCGGCUAACUUCGUG
rnacentral:rRNA from 1 species